CUAUGAACAUGUACCUUUUCCCUUUGCUUCUUCGUCAGUAUGUGAGAGCGUUGUCACCUUUUCUUUUUCUUUGCAAUUUGUAGAAGCAGAUUGGUUCAUUUGUCAUACAGCUACUGACUUAAAUUUGUUUAGUUUGUUGCUGAACGUAAUGAGUCCUGGUGAUGAAACGGGCAAACUUGGUUUUAAAACUUGAAGAGAUUGAACCUGGCCAACGGUUUAAAAUGUUGGAAACAUCACACGAAAAGCUGAUUGGCCAUCAAUGGUUGACUGCUUACACGUCAGCUUACGAUGAAUAACAAACCAGCUCAUUGGUGACCACGUUGCACUACUUCUCAAAUGUGUGUGGUGUCUAGCAGAUUGCUGUCAUUCGACAAAGACUGUGUGGAGCAUUUCCAGAGCUAUCGGUGUGACCCAGGAACUGAGCCUUGCCACCGCCCCGGUGUAGAAAAUGUCCCCGUCAUCCCGUGAAUGGCCCAUUCCAGGCAUGGGGCAGAGUGGUGAGCCCCGGAUCACAGCCUAUCAGUUGUUUAGACCCGACUACUGCUUUCGUUUCGCAUUACGGCUGAUUUGGAAAAGUAUGGCAACAAAGCAUGAGGCAUUUUCUGGCGCUUAACUGACAAGAAAGAAAAAGGCUUUCUUCAUUUGGGCGCAAAAUUUUUAGGCAAGAGAUUCCUACAAAUAAUUUCCGUUCAUUGGCCUGUUUGAGAAAUGCUGUUUGUUUCCAUCUCUUGUCAGACAAAAAUGAAGCAUGGCAUUCAAAAGGGCAGUUUUCUUCUCUGAGCUAACAUCCAGCAUAAACAAGGAAUAAAGGUAUCUAAUCAGACCUCAUCUCGCUCAGUGACAUGGACGAUGAACAAUACAUUGUUGGGAAAAUUCUUCAUCUGAGGAGAAGGAUGCUGAAGUUUGGUAUUUGCUGACAAGGAUUGGGGUUUCAAACAAUGGCAAUACUUGGGAGCCAAAGAAAAUCUUGAUUGUAAUAAUUUCAUUGGAAUAUUAAGAAUAGCAGGUCAGUAAUGUGAUAUAAUGUACAAGUUUUUGGAUGACCACCAGCAAUAAUAAAAUCUAGCAGACACAAUGAACAUACAUUUGAAAGGCAGCCAGAGUAUACACUUCAGCACCUACUCACACACGGAUUGGAAAACAGUCAUUCAUGUUGCGAGCAUCUGACGCGCGAAAUAUUGGAUAUUUGAGGCAGCCAUGAAGCCUUGUAUUUUUUCUUCUAAAAAUUUGGAGAACAUCACAAAUUACGAACAAGACAUUGUUGUCUUUGCCCUCGUUCGCUCAUCUCCAUGGCAGAUGGUCAUUAAGAAGGAUUAUAAGUAUGUGGUAAUAUCAUUCUUCCACAUUCCACUAUUGCAUUAUUAUUUUCUAUUAUUUUCGUCUCAUACCAUUAACGAGUAUUAGAUUGUAAACAAUUCAUUUAAAUUCAACAAUUAAUUUUCUUUCAUGUUUUCAGC